GGAUUGGGGUUUUAGAAGUAACCAUUCAUUAUCUGUGAGGUUACGCAUUCCUCUAAUCUUCUCUAGUUUAGGAAUCAUUAGUGUGUUUUCUAAUGCCAAUCCUUGUUGUUGUAUCCAUAAAUACCUGAUGGCACAAGUACUCCAGUUACUUAGACCUGUAGUGAAUUUCAUAGUUGCAACAGUUAAAUUAUCUAAAUAAUUAUACAUUGAUUUAUCUAAAUCCAAUCCUAUAACCUGUGAUUUAACAACAAUUGGAGCCCAGUUUGCAGUAGCAUGGAAACCAGUCCCUAUAUGCAUGCUGGCCGUGUUUAACUUAUUCUUGAGGGUCUCCAUAUCUAUAACUAUUUAGUAUACCCAUAGUGGUUCCAGCACCUCCUAACAGUGUGUCAUACCAUUCCCUUUUCUGCCUUUGUUUGUUGUGUUACAUAAUGUUAC